GACGAACGCUGGCGGCGUGCUUAACACAUGCAAGUCGAACGGAAAGGCCCUGCUUUUGUGGGGUGCCCGGGUGGCGAAGGGGUGAGUAACACGUGAGUAACCUGCCCUUGACUUUGGGAUAACUUCAGGAAAGUGGGGCUAAUACCGGAUAGGAGCUCCUGUUGCAUGGUGGGGGUUGGAAAGUUUGGGCUGUUGGGGAUGGACUCGCGGCUUAUCAGCUUGUUGGUGGGGUAGUGGCUUACCAAGGCUUUGACGGGUCGCCGGCCUGAGAGGGUGACCGGCCACAUUGGGACUAAGAUACGGCCCAGACUCCAACGGGAGGCAGCAGUGGGAAGUAUUGCACAGUGGGCGGAAGCCGGAUGCGGAGACGCCGCGUGCGGGAUGACGGCCUUCGGGUUGAGAACCGCUGUAGCCUGUGACGAAGCGUGAGUGACGGUAGUGAGUAAAGAAGCACCGGCUAACUACGUG
rnacentral:rRNA from 1 species